CUGGGAGACAGACUUUGAGCUAUAGAGAGCCAUCAUGCGAUUGACCACUAUCGCAGCUCCCGUUGUCCCAUUGCUGUCUCCACAUAAUGGGAGUCUAUGACCGUGAGAUGUCAGUUUUCUGCCCUGGAUGUUGAAACGCAGCGUCUUCCAGCCCUCAUUAACUUGGACUUCUCCUGUGCACCAGCUCCAUCUUGUGGUUGCUUGUCAACUUUCCACAGUUCUAGGCACAAACACAACUCCUUCUACUGUCCUCGUAGGCUGGACAGAAUCAAGCAGGAGCGAAGAGUAGGCUCGCAGCUUUCCACAAAAGGCCGUUGAUGGGUGAGGUUGGAAGUAGGGCGAAGCAAUAAAUUCUCAAAGCCUGCCAUCAGGGACACACGACUCCUCGCAAGGCUCCUGUCUUUAAGUGUCAUAACCCAAGCAGAUCCACUGGGGAUGCUCAAAUAUGUGAGCCACGGUAGACAGCUACUAUUUAUGCCACGCCACCACCAUUAGCAAUGAAGGCUGCCUUAAAGUACAUGCCAACAUGAUGAUUUUAGUGAGUUCUUAACGCAAAAGGAGUGUUGCAGGGAUCUGAUGGACAAAGGGCAUGUUUCGGGGGUGUUCUAGUCUUUCCAUGCUUUGGCAUGUGAUGUGGGGCAUGUAGUCAAGCUUUUGUCUGAGUCCCCUGUCAUCUGAGGCCUUGUCUGGGUGAGGGAAUACAGAUGCUGUGCUUGAUGACGGAUGUGAACAGGCAUAGGCCAGGCUGAAAGGGGACAGUGACGCAAGACAACAGUACAUCAUUAUGGCUUCCUCUUAUGAGCACUCACUUUUGAAAAAAUAAAAACACAGCCCCAGACUGGCUCACUUACAGGUGUCAUUGGAACAACCCAUCAGGAAGAUAUAGAAGAAAUAGGCUCACAGAUGGUGACAGGCAGAGACUUGACAAACAUUUCCUAAGAUGGAGAAGUCUUGAUGUCAUUACAUCUACAGACAAGAGCACCUUUAAGAAGUCAGUAAACCCAGGAGGGUGAAUAAGCUAGCCUGAUGCAGAUGAGAAAGCCUUAUACAGCUUGUCUGUGC
rnacentral:lncRNA from 1 species